ensembl:lncRNA
CUCCCUUCCAACUAGUUCAGGAGAAGGGUUAGUAUUUUUAGAGCGGAGGGGAAGGACAAAAACAACCCCACCAACAGGCAGGUUGCAUUUGUGUGUCUGGUAAAGGGAUUGCAGAGGCUCCUAAAUAUCCUGCUUAAAAGAUAUACUCUCUUAGCUUCUGCUCUACUUUCUCACUUCAUAAAGACUCUGAACUGCUGGCACGGGUCUCAGUGUGAAAGCGGUCGGCUGGCCCUUGCUCACACCUGCCCUAGGCACUGGCCAGCAGGCUGCACCUUACCUUCUGACCUGUAUCCGAGGUUUCCACUUGGUGCUUUCAAUGCGAAGAAAGAGCUGCUCUGAAUUGCCCGUAUUUGGCCAGGGAUCACCUCAGUGGACAGUUAAUGAAAGAGUAGAGGGAACUUGAAGGUCAGUCGCACUGAAUUCUUUCUUCUUCCUGGAUGUGUCUUUUUUAUUGCAACCUAUCUUUCUUUGUAUAAUUUAUUAAACAAAGUCCUUUUUUUGUUUCCUGCAAAGGCAAAUCUAUCCCUCUUUGUUCAUCUGCCUUCUUUUCUUGAAGCAUUUAUAACACAGCCAAAAAAGUCUCAAAAUAGAUGUUUCCAUUGAAAUUACUAAACAGAAUUACACUUUAGCCAAUUUCUGUUUCUUGUCCGAGUGUGGCUGUGAGGAUAAAACUGCAACAGAUGCUGCAACCAGGUAUGUUUUUGAGAGUGGAAUGCGUACAUUGACCUGUAAAUCUGAUCUCAGUACAAUGAGAAGACUUUAGUUACUAGCUCAAGCUCAGAAUAAAUUAAUUUGAACUUCAGAAAAGCACAAGACUGAGGAAAAUAGCACAAGAAAAUGCAUUUGGGUCUGCUGGAUUGAAACUAACCAGAAGAUAAGCUGAAAUAGCUUUUGUUUAUUGAAAAACUAUAGUAGAUGGGUACUGACUUAGCCAGAAACAGAAUUUUCUUGUGACGAGUGCAGUGUAACAGAUAUGUUGAAAAUAAAAAGGAAAAAAUCAAAACAAAGAGAAAGGCACAGAAUAAAAUUUAUAAUGGCCUUUCCAUUUUCUUCUUUCCUCUUUCUUAUUUAAUAAAGUGAAUGCCUGUUAACACUAUUUUCUCUUUUUCAGGAUCUUUUCUUUCUUUGGAGGACACCAGCCUUACCUUUUGUUUUUCUCAGUCACUUUCUGCCUUGGAGUACCUUGUGUCUUAAUCUUCUCUCUCUAGCUUAUUGCUUCACCCAGUUUGCCUCGGUUUUUUAUCUUUUUCCUAUUGUGUUUUUUUUUUGUCAUUCAUUUUGACUUCCAUUCUGAAAUGCAGUAUCUUCCUACCUCAGAGUUCCCUUCCCCUGUUUAACCUGUGUCACACAAAAAAAUUUUAGGACUCACCAUCAUUUGACACUUCAAGAUGAAGUGUUUUGAAUGACCACUUUGGCUUCAGAGGAAAAGAAAGUGUUGGUAGAUGAAGUAGUGGUUUUUCAGCACGUGAUCUCUUAGCAUCCUUUCAGUCACAAAAAAAAUCACUCCUGCUUUCUCUCAGGUUGAAAUAAAAAUUCUUUGCAAUGCUUGGACAGCUUAAUAUACUAUUAAAUUGAACAUACAAAGUGGGGAGAAACAGGAGAUAGGAGAAGUGGGUAGAGAAGUACACUUUCGGCCUGGUAUACAAGGAAAAAAUUAAAAAAAAAAUAUAUUCAGAGGUGAGUUUGUUUUUCAAAGUACAUUUAGUUUAAACUAUCUGUAAGUAUUACCUGCAUUUUUAUGGUUAUCAUCUAGUCAAGGAUGCCCUUACUGUAAAUACAGUACAAUGAGCUUUUCUAUUUGUAAACUUGGGAUUUCAUGUCACUUUUUAAUAGGCUUCAGAAGCACACGUCCAUUUGACUAGCUGUGAUACAGCAGUGGUCAUUACUAGCUGCAGGACGUGCUACUUAGCAUGCACUAGCUGCGGCUGCCUCAGGUGGUGGGACAUCUUUUGUGAACAGUGUGACUGUGACCACUUGUCUUUUACCAGCACCAGGGGAUUUCAAGCUUCAGCACUUUUGCAGAUUGCA